AGCCUGGCGUGCUGCAGUCAUGAGAUCGAAAAGAGUGGGACAGGACUGAAUGACUGAACUGAACUGUACUUAUUCAGGUGAUACUAAGCUCUUCCCAGACCAGCUGGUUCCUACCAUCACCUAACACUUAGGGACCUAAAACUUCAUAAUCCAAUGGAAACAAAUGAGAAAGUGCAGACCUUUAGAAAUGGGUCCUUAAAAUCCAUUAUUUUACAGAGUUAUUUUACAGAGCUAUUUACAGAGUUAUUCAUCUUCUAAUGACAUUUCUACAUAUUUUAGCAUUCUCAUGCUUCGCACUUUCUAUUCCUUCCAAAAUCCCCAACCUUUUUUCUUGGUUUUAACUCUUAUACCAACUCCUUUUAGGUCAGAAUCACUUGUAAUAAGUGUACUUAAAAAACAUCAUUCCUUUCAGAGCAUUUCGUUGGUAGAUACCUACUUAAGCAUUAUUUUAAUAAAUUUAUUGGGUUUACCUGCUUAUCUCACUUAAAGAACUGAGUUCUGAGUGACAUGAGAUAAAUGCAAAACACGACAACAAAAAAUCAGGUAAGAUGGAGUAAGAAAGUGCUUAAAAUUAAACUACAUAUUUAUUUUACAAAGCAUCUUUUUUGUGCUAGUUCCCACAGACUUGUCUCUAACUUUUCAAUUAACUGGUAGAGGUGGUACUUAUAAAGAUCUCCCAUUCCCCAGGGCUCCAGAAUUUUAAAAUGUAUCACUUCUCUCUCUUCCUUUAUAUAGCUUUUCUUGGCUCAGACAGACCAUGGCAAAAUAAUUACUAAUAAAAUAUAAGACCAAAUUACAGUCAUGUAUAUGACAAACUUAUAAAGGGAUAAAAUGUUAGUGAUAGUUGGGAGCUUAAGAAUAAUCUAGUACCACUCCCAUUUUUUAUAGAUGAGGAAAUUGGGGCUAAUUAUGUCAUUUGAUUUAGUAGAUCAUAUAUUGAAUUAUUUGAAGAACCAAUACCAGAUUCCAGGUCUCCUACCUUCCAUUCAAGUCCUAAUUUCUCUUUCCUUCAUUCCCUCAUUCUUCCCUGGAAUUUUAAAUUGAACAGGAAGAGAUGUUGAAAGUAUUGUGCUCUUGUUGCUCUCUCCAAGUAAUUUAAAAAAUUAAAAUGUUCUUAUUUUCUUAGGUAUUUACACCUCCCCUCCCCAUCUUUUUAAACCUGGUAAUUAAAUGCAAUGAAAUUACACCAACCUAGGUUUUCACAAGUAAUGGGAUAGUUUGUUAAUAGUGAAACCCUAGUAUUCAUAUCAGAUUUUGGUUAUGAUUAGUUGCUGACAUUAUGUUAUGAUUAUAAUGGUUAUGAUUAGCUGUCAUCUGAUACUGUAGAUGACACCAGCUUUUCCAUUUGUUUCAGAAAGUAGUCCACAAGAGUGUUUCUAAGGUUUUAGAAUCACUGAUUCUAAUUGCUCUUUUUUUUGUUUUUGUUAGAGUGCCAACAUCUUGAACUUUGGAAAAGAAAAAUAAGCAUGUCUUGGUUUUUAAAAUAAUUGAUAAUUAUGGAGGUAGUUAAAAAAAAUCCCUAUUGACUAUUACAUAUUAGCACACAAAUAAUUUGUUUUUUAACAUUUCCCAUAAAGGAAGGGCAAUAUAGAAUCUCAAUGUGAUUGGUGUAAGUUAAGUUAGUUUUAUUUAUUUGCUGAAGGUCAGUUACCUAGCUUUAUAAAAUGAACUUAUUUGGUCCUGGACACCAUAUUCAUAUUGUUUUUCUCAUAACACAGAAAUAAAAUUUUAAGGCAUUCCUAUGAACACACUUUCCCAAAGCCGUUAGGAGCUGUAUGAAUCUUGAGCUCUCAGAAUUUAUUUCAUACCUUAUAUUUGAAAUUACUAAUUUUAGCCAUUAGAACAUAGGAAAUUUUAAAUAGAUUUUGCUUUCAUAGUAAAUCAUCCUUAUUCUCAUCCAUUCCCUCAGCUGAAAAAAUAUAAAAAUGAGGCCAAAUGAAUACAUUAUUGAAUUAUAAAUUUAUUUUACUUCCAGAUCUUGCAGUGAAGGUCAGGUGAUAAGAUUUUUACAAACCUUGGUAAUAUUUUAGAUUUAGAUACAGAAAUUAACAUGUAUAUUUUUCUGUAAUUGUAAAAUAGAGCCAGAAGCAGGGCUCAUGUAUAUAGAGCUAUGUUUAUUUGCAUGUAUCCUUCAAAGUAAAAUCUUAAACAGAUUUAACAUAUGUAUUUCUUGUGUGGCUGAUAAAACACAUUGGCCAUACCUGCCUACCAGGUGGAUUUGAAAUCUGAAUUUACUUUUAAAUGCAUCAUAAAUAUUUCAGUGCCACCAGGUGGUACUUGAUUUCCCAAUAAUGUAUGAUGUUUUGGCAUAUAUAUAUAUGUGUAUAUAUAUAUGAAUCUCACAGUACCCUGUAGUACCCAACCAUAUUUUCUUGAUUUACUUUCCAUUAAUAUAAGGUUGUCACCAGAUUCCACAACUCCCUUAAAUUAGGAAUGGAAUUCACAGCCAAAACCUUGGUGUCCAAUCUCAACUUUUCUUUUUAACAUUAAAACAGUGAAAUAUCAGUUAUUCCAAUGCUGUAAUGAAUCAAGCAACACUGGAAAUUAAAUCCCCAAACAGUACACCUUUAGUUUGUUCAGCAGAUAGUAAGACAUUUCACGAGCCAUCAUUACGUAGUUUCAACAGUUUCACACUGUCUACUCCUUCAGCAACCCUUUGGGAGAUAUCCUGAGAUCAUUUACUGGGUAAGUGCAUGGAUCUUCUAAAAAACGUUUGUAAUAUUUCAUAGUUUGACCAUGGAGACACUCCAGUAAAGGAAACAAACUUUAACAAAGAAAUAAAUAGGUUAAGGACUGAAGUAAUCUGGGAGGUGGCACGGUGCCAUAGCUUCGCAUAAAAGCUGUCGUUCUUCCUCACUUCCUUCCCAAGGGCCGCGAGUUACUUUGUUAUUUAAAGUCUCCGAAUUAAGACUGCUACUGAAGAACAACCCAGAAGUACAAAAUAUCACGAAAUCUUUUCAAGUGGCAAUUUACAGGGGGCUUUCUGAAUCCUAUCGUAUAGAGAUCAAACAAAUCGUUAACAGUUAAUGGCCUACCUACAAUCGCUCUUGCUACAACCCGGACCUGUCUGUCCGAGGACGGAACACCGCAGGAAUCUCGCCUUAGCAACAGCAAAUGAGCGCCCCUUUCGGAGAGCCGUUCAGCAUCACCUAGACCUGGGGACUUUAGAAUUAGCGGGCAAAUCGAGGUGACUUCCGGGUCCUCUCUUCCCCAUCGCUAUCUGAUGGGACUGGACAAGAGGCCCCAAGGCUUCCAGUCGGUAGCUUUUUGCUCGCGACCCGCCCCGCUCCGCAAUCCUGUAAAGGAGGCUUUGGUCGCCUACUGAGCCCGGGUCGAUCUUCGUCCUCGUCAUUGUCUGGUCCUCCAGCUCCAGAUUUUCCCUCAGGGCCCGACGCCUGAAGUGGGGACUUACAGGGGGGUCCUUCAAGGUCAGUGGGGCGAUCGUUAUCACCUGCCUGCAACCUGAAGGCUAGCUGCCACCGCCUCCCACUCCGCCCCAGCACCUUCUGUGUGAAGAUUCACAGCACUUGGGUUUGUUCAUGGACUUGCUCACGUGCCGCUUUUCACCAGAAAACCCUGAAAAACAAACGCGGGAGUUCCACAUUCGGCUCCUACUGGAAAUCCAUGUGCCCCACCUCUCUUCAUUUUGCUUCACGAGUUGUUCUUGGUUGGACGUACAUGCAGAGGAAGUGGUGAAUGGUAACAUCCCUGCCUGGAAGGAGCCCUAAGAAGUGCCUAAACUGCUUUUCUGUUUGCUCCUCUUCCCUUCGGAGUGCCCAGUUUGGUAAGAUGUCCUGUGAGAAACUGAAGUGUGAAGGAGCUGAAAACAGGUUUUAGAGGGGAACUCUGGAUGCUGGUGGAUCAGUGAGAAAAAGCACUUAUUUUACCCCUGACCUCAGCACUAAAGAGAUACCCUUUCACCACUGUUGCAAAUUCAUGCUUCCAAGAACUGUUGCCCUCUGCAGACCCAUCUUCUGGAAGAAAACCUCAAUUGCCAAGGAUAAACACAUUUUUGAUCGUCUUCCUUUUUUAUAAGUCUGUGGAAAUUUAAUAUGUGAACAUUCUUUGCAUAAUUUUAUGGGCUCUAACAUUCAGAUGGAGACUAGCAUUAUUAUUUUUUUUACUGUAAGAAGAAAAUCUGCACUGUAUCUUCUGUUUAGGAGAUGGGACUUAAUCACUGUCAUCUUUUGUACUUAGUGGUGCUGCCAAGGCAGUGUGGUCAGAAUAAGGAUGGAAUUUCAAAUAAAAGAAACUUGGGAGACAUGA